GCGACUUGUUUAGAGCUUUUCGUCGGACAUCUCAAUUCUUUCUUCCGUAAAGCUUUUUCGUAAGAAAGAGUCUAUUUCCGAAAAAUACUCUUCGGAGAAAUUCUUAUUUUCUUCCUCGGACGUUUUGAAUGUUAAAUUUGUCGUAACCGUUUUUAACCCCAACAAUUAUGUUUUUCUUUUUUGGAAGAUUAAGUUCCAAAUUAGGAUAGCCAUCCUGAACAAGGAUUGUCUAACAUUCCUUACACGCUUUUGAUUCUCUUAGAAAAUAAACACAUUUAUUUUAUUUUUCUGGAAACCCCUCCUGAAAGUGCCAAAAGAUAUCCUAUAUAACAUAUGUGUUUUAUAAUGAUACCACAUUUAACACUUUCUCGAUAGAAUUAUUGAAAAUGCUUCAAGCUAUCCUAUUUUAAUAUUCUCUGUUUGAUACGUGUUCUCUAUUUUGUAGACAACUAAUUCUAUUUUAUGAUUUUUAUAGCCAAUGAAUUUUCUUAUAGAUUUUGAUUAUGUUUUUUUUGGAAUAUUAAUUCCAUUUUAGGAUAGCCAUCCUGAACAAGGAUUGUCCAACAUUCCUUACAAGCUUUUGAUUCUCUUUGAAAACAGACUUAUACAAGAAAACACACUCAUUUUUUUUAUUGGAAACCUAUCCUGAAAGUGCCAAAAGCUAUCCUAUAUAAAAUAUGUGUUUUAUAAUGAUACCACAUUUAAUACUUUCUCGAUAGAAUUAUUGAAAAUUCUUCAAGCUAUCCUAUUUCAAUGUUAUUUGUUUUAUAUGUGUUCUCUAUUUUGUAAACAACUAACUCUAUUUUGCUGAUUUCUAUAGUCAGUGAAUUUUCUUAUAGAUUUUGAUUAUGUUUUUUUCUGGAAGAUUAAGUUCCAAAUUAGGAUAACCAUCCUGAACAAGGAUUGUCUAACAUUCCUUACACGCUUUUGAUUCUCUUCGAAAACAUACUUAUGCAAAAAAAUACUCAUUUUAUUUUUUUGGAAACCCAGCCUGAAUGUGCCAAAAGCUAUCCUAUAUAACAUAUGUGUUUUAUAAUGAUACCACAUUUAACACUUUCUUGAUAGAAUUAUUGAAAAUGUUUCAAGCUAUCUUACUUUAAUGUUCUUUGUUUAAUGGUAAGUUUUUUUUUUUUGCGAGAAACCGAUGUCGAGUAAGUUAAUUUGAAUUCCGGUUACCCACCAACCCAUAAAUAAACAAAAAAAUAUUUACUUCAGAAUAUGCAUAGAA